UUAUCUGAUUCGUUCAAUUAGGGAUUAGCCGAUUAGGGAAUUAGAAUUUAGAAAGGGAGAAAGACAGAAAGUCAGAAACAACAAUAGUUUCUUUCAUCCAGAAGACCUUUGUUGUUAGAAUACUAACUACUAAGAGAUCGGCUGCUGUGACUUCAAAGAAUCAAAGGUAAAUGUACACUAUCAAGUGCAAUCAUGCCCUGUGCUCCUAAAGUACGCUUUCAUAUUUGGGAACACUUUGAGGUGAAAGAAGAUAACGGAGAAGUUCGCAAAGUAGAGUGCAAGCAUUGUGGUCGGGUCUAUAAUGUUCAUCCAAAGAGGGAUGACACAUAUUGUUUAAAGAAGCAUAUUAGGUGUUGUCUUGAGCGUCUUCCUGACAUCCGUAUUUAAGAAUUAAGACUAAGUUGAUUCGAGACUAUUAGUGUAAACUUGAAUUGAGGGAUGCCCUCUCUGUUUUUGUUGAACUGUGUUUAAUUCUGCUGCUAUUGUUAGAGUAUGCUGCUACUGUUGCACUGUUAAGACUAAUUUAAUUCUGUUGCUACUGUUGCACUGCUAGAAUCUCUGAUUUUUGUUUAAUUCUGCUGCACUGUGUGAGUUAGGCAGAAUUGUGAAUUAUGUAAUGUGCAAUGUGCACUAUGAAAAAUGAAGACAGUUUCUGUUUAUCCAUGUUGUAUCAUUUUUUUA